rnacentral:lncRNA from 1 species
CAGGAGGCUUGGAAGGCACAACUGACAUCCUCCAGCUCAUUGGCAGUGGUAGGCCUCUCAACCUCCAUGGCUGCCUCUCCCUAGUCACUCACUUCAUGAUGGAGUAGCUUUUAGCUGAAACUAGGUGAAGGGUCAUCACUCUUUUGGAUAUUAAGAAGAGCAACACUGUUGUCUCGAGAGAAGGACAGCCAAUCACUUCCUAGUCAAGUUAAGGAGAAAUAUCUAAGGGCAG